UACGUAGGGGGCGAGCGUUGUCCGGAUUCAUUGGGCGUAAAGAGCUCGUAGGCGGCUUGGCAAGUCGGGUGUGAAACCUCCAGGCUCAACCUGGAGACGCCACCCGAGACUGCUAUGGCUAGAGUCCGGUAGGGGAUCACGGAAUUCCUGGUGUAGCGGUGAAAUGCGCAGAUAUCAGGAGGAACACCGGUGGCGAAGGCGGCAUCCUGGACCGGCAUUGACGCUGAGGAGCGAAAGCCAGGGGAGCAAACGGG
rnacentral:rRNA from 1 species